rnacentral:rRNA from 1 species
CGUCUAUAUACGUAUAGCAUAUCAAUAAGCGGAGGAAAAGAAACUAACAAGGAUUCCCUUAGUAACGGCGAGUGAAGCGGGAAGAGCUCAAAUUUGAAAUCUUCAAGGUUCUACCUUGACGAAUUGUAGUUUAAAGAAGUGUUUUCUGUUAGAGGAGUAGCGAAAGUUCCUUGGAAUGGGACAUCAUAGAGGGUGAGAAUCCCGUAUUUGGUUAUUCUUUCUAGCUUUGUGAUACACUUUCAAAGAGUCGGAUUGUUUGGGAAUGCAGUCCAAAAUGGGUGGUAAAUUUCAUCUAAAGCUAAAUAUUGGCGAGAGACCGAUAGCGAACAAGUACCGUGAGGGAAAGAUGAAAAGAACUUUGAAAAGAGAGUUAAACAGUACGUGAAAUUGUCAAAAGGGAAGCGUUUGACACCAGUGUUGUUUUUCCGAAAAUCAAUUAAGAGUGGCUUGAUUUUGUGUUGUAUUGACCUUAUCAGCUUUCUUCACUCUUUUUCGAGUCUUUCUUAAUGCACUUUUCGGUUAACAAGUCAACAUCAAUUUCUUUUGUUGUAAAAGGGUAUUUGGAAGGUGGCUUUCUUUUCGGAGAAAGUGUUUAUAGCCUUAUACCUCUACAAUCGGAGAGAUUGAGGUCUGCAGCGUAGAUCCUUCGGGGCUAGAUACACUUGUGCUAAGUUUAUAGCUUUUCAUAGACAACUUGUUGACUAUGUUUAGUCAUGUAGCUUACCCGCUUGUGCUAUUUUACCUACGCUUAGGAUGUUGAGUCAUCACACAUCUCU